rnacentral:rRNA from 1 species
UGGGCGAAAGCCUGAUGCAGCGACGCCGCGUGAGGGAUGACGGCCUUCGGGUUGUAAACCUCUUUCAGUAGGGAAGAAGCGAAAGUGACGGUACCUGCAGAAGAAGCGCCGGCUAACUACGUGCCAGCAGCCGCGGUAAUACGUAGGGCGCAAGCGUUAUCCGGAAUUAUUGGGCGUAAAGAGCUCGUAGGCGGUUUGUCGCGUCUAUCGUGAAAGUCCGAGGCUCAACCUCGGAUCUGCGGUGGGUACGGGCAGACUAGAGUGAUGUAGGGGAGACUGGAAUUCCUGGUGUAGCGGUGAAAUGCGCAGAUAUCAGGAGGAACACCGAUGGCGAAGGCAGGUCUCUGGGCAUUAACUGACGCUGAGGAGCGAAAGCAUGGGGAGCGAACAGGAUUAGAUACCCUGGUAGUCCAUGCCGUAAACGUUGGGCACUAGGUGUGGGGGACAUUCCACGUUUUCCGCGCCGUAGCUAACGCAUUAAGUGCCCCGCCUGGGGAGUACGGCCGCAAGGCUAAAACUCAAAGGAAUUGACGGGGGCCCGCACAAGCGGCGGAGCAUGCGGAUUAAUUCGAUGCAACGCGAAGAACCUUACCAAGGCUUGACAUGUGCUAGAUCGCCAUAGAAAUAUGGUUUCCCCUUUGGGGC